rnacentral:rRNA from 1 species
UACGGAGGGUGCAAGCAUUGCUCGGAAUUAUUGGGCGUAAAGGGUAGGUAGGUGGUCUUAUUUGUCUGAGGUGAAAGCCUUGAGCUUAACUCAAGAAGUGCCUCAGAAACGGUAAGACUGGAGUCCUGGAGAGGGUCGUGGAAUUCCGGGUGUAGCGGUGGAAUGCGUAGAGAUCCGGAAGAACACCGGUGGCGAAGGCGGUCUGCUGGGGUGAGGCUGACACUGAUGCGCGACAGCGUGGGGAGCAAACAGG